rnacentral:rRNA from 1 species
UAUUAAUUAUUAGUUUUGUUUAUUAUAUAAAUAUUAAAAAUAAUUUUAAUUUUUUUUUGUUAAAGUAUUUUUUAAAGAAUUAAUAAUUUUAAUAAUAGUUUAUUAGUACUGUUAAGGAAAAUUGAAAUAUAUUGAAAAAUUAAUAUUUUUAAAGAAAAUUUUAUUUAUUGUACCUUGUGUAUCAGGGUUUAUUAAAUAGUUAAUAAUUAUUUAUUUUUCUCGAUUUUAAAAGAGCUAAUAAAUUAUAAUAGUUUAUGUUUCAUAAUAAUUAUAAAUAAUUUAUUAGAAAUGAAAUGUUAUUCGUUUUUAAAGGUAUCUAGUUUCUUAAGAAACAAAUUUAAUUUGGGGUUUAAAAUAUAAAUUAUUUAAUUUUUAAUUAAUUUAUUUUUAAAUACUAAUAGUUUACGGGAUUAGCUGUUUACUAAAAUUCUAAAAAUUAAUUUUUUUAAUAAUUAAUUAUAUGCUUAUAAUUAGCAAUUAAUGGUAAAUUUGUUAUAAAUUAUAUUUAAAUUAAAUUAUUUAUUGUAUUUUAGAAAUUUAUUAAGACAUAAAUUUUAAUAAUAAAAAUUUAAAGAUAAUGAUAAAAUUAGUAUAUAAGUUUGUUUAAUAAUUUUGUAUUGUUAGGUUUAAUUUAAGAACUCGGCAAAUUUAAAUAUCUGCCUGUUUAACAAAAACAUGUCUUUUAGAAAUUAAUUUAAAGUCUGACCUGCCCAUUGAAUAAUUUUAAAAGGCCGCAGUAUAUUAACUGUGCAAAGGUAGCAUAAUCAUUAGUCUUUUAAUUGAAGGCUUGAAUGAAUGGUUGGACAAGAUAUAAACUGUUUUAUUUAAAUUUAUAUAAAACUUUAUUUUUUAGUAAAAAAGCUAAAAUUUUAUUAAAAGACGAGAAGACCCUAUAGAUCUUUAUAUUUAUAAUUAUUGAAAUUAUAAAGGAGAUUUUUAUUUUAAUAAUUAAUAUAUUUUGUUGGGGAGACAACAAGAUUUUUUUAACUCUUGUAUAAAAUAAACAAUUAUUUUUGAUUAUUUGAUCCAUUAUUAUUGAUUAAAAAAUUAAGUUACCUUAGGGAUAACAGCGUAAUUUUUUUGGAGAGUUCAUAUCGAUAAAAAAGUUUGCGACCUCGAUGUUGGAUUAAGAUAUAUAAUUAGGUGCAGAAUUUUAAUUAUUAAGUCUGUUCGACUUUAGUUUCUUACAUGAUCUGAGUUCAAACCGGCGUGAGCCAGGUUGGUUUCUAUCUUUAAUUUUAUAUUAUAUUUUAGUACGAAAGGGCCAAAUAUAAAAAAUAAUUUUUUUAAGUGAAUAAAAUUAAU